AUUGAACGCUGGCGGCAUGCCUUACACAUGCAAGUCGAACGGCAGCACGGGAGCAAUCCUGGUGGCGAGUGGCGAACGGGUGAGUAAAGUAUCGGAACGUGCCCAGUCGUGGGGGAUAACGUAGCGAAAGUUACGCUAAUACCGCAUACGAUCUAUGGAUGAAAGCGGGGGAUCGCAAGACCUCGCGCGAUUGGAGCGGCCGAUAUCAGAUUAGGUAGUUGGUGGGGUAAAGGCUCACCAAGCCGACGAUCUGUAGCUGGUCUGAGAGGACGACCAGCCACCUAGGGACUGAGACACGGCCCAGACUCCUACUGGGGGCAGAGUUGGGGAAUUUUGGACAAUGGGCUAAAGCCUGAUCCAGCCAUGCCGCGUGCAGGAUGAAGGCCUUCGGGUUGUAACCUGCUUUUGUACGGAACGAAAAGGUUUGGCCUAAUAAGCUGAGCUCAUGACGGUACCGUAAGAAUAAGCACCGGCUAACUACGUGCCAGCAGCCGCCGUAA
rnacentral:rRNA from 1 species